AAUAUCUCCAAAAAUUAAUCUUCCAUAUUGCACUGACGGCUCAACACCUUAUUGCAUGAGCCUGGAAGACUUUAAACAUUCCCACGAUUCAGAAAAUACAUUCUGAGAUGGAGGAGCAGAGGCUUUAUGAGCGCUGCUUUAUAAGUAUAUAUCCAUCUAACCAAUGUGGGAUAGCGGCAUGGGACACUUGGGACAAGUGGAGAUGGGUACACCCCACAUAGGGGGAAGCAUUAAUGUUCCAUAAAGAUGUUAUCGCACUGUUUUAAUACAUUUUGAUUUCAAGUACGUUAGCACUAAAUUAAAUUUUAUGCUCCAGUUAUAUAGAAAUUUGUGAUCUAAAUGUGAUUAUACUGAUGAAGGCCAUAUUGAGUACCAAAGUAUUGUGUAUUAUUAUGGAUUACCAUGGAUAAUUAUGGUUCAUUGUGUAGUAAGUGAUA